UUUGUGUCGACAUGUAGCCAUCCAUGAGCGGGGCUCCAUGUAGUAGUAUUAACUUAGAACUUCUUACACGCUUUCACUGAUGAUCUUAAUUAGCAUCCAUAUUUGUAACCAGGGGCGGAAGAGAAUGACCUAAUGGAAGUGGGCUUAUUAAGUGGAGUGAGCAACUGAGGCAUGCACCUUGCUCUAUCUAUCUAACAUAUAAAACCCUCUGAAUCCAAACGGAAAGAUGCUGAAAACAUACUAGCUAAAAAACAAAUAUAUAAAAGCACCCCAAUGGAAGAUGCUUAGAAAGGAGCUGAACUUCUUCGGACCAACGAAACGAAUCCGAUGAGCAUCCCUGGAGCAGCGAUGCACAUUUUGAGUUAUUUGUUACAUGGAGUCGUUGUGCUGUUUCUGGGAUGCCGUUUGAUAUUGUCUUGCAACGCUAUUGCUUGCUGCUACUUGUGUCUGGCUGUUCUAGUACAGUUUAAGGUCUCAGUUUCCGAUCUACGUGUUGUAAACUUGUAAAUGCGUAGUAGGUAAUGGGCUAAUGGCCAUGGGAUAGCCUGAUUAAAAGAUGGUUGGAUCUAUAGCAUAUUAUAAUACAAGUGGCAGAGCUGCACACCACUGAUGCAUGGAGAUCCACAAAGCAAAGAGUAAUACUAAACUCAUCACGUUGGUACGCGCAAUCGCCAACUCCGAUGUAUUCCUUGUUUCUUUUUGGUAAAAUAUAUUCCAAGUUGCAAACCUAUUUUCACCUAUAUGGAGUGACAUAUGGAGUGGAGUCACGCUCUCACCCUCACACUUAACCGCAUCCACAGUCCAGAGCUCGUCAUCCUCGCCGCUUCCGCGUCCACGACGGCGAUUGAUACAGUUGGCUCCGAGAACAUCAGCAUUGGUUGGAUCUGCCGGGGCCAGCAAUGGCGGCAGCCAUCGGGGGCAUGGUCGCCUCGGGCGUCAUCAAGGUGGUGAUCAAGCAGCUCGGCUCCGCCAUCUUGGGCAAGAUCAAGCUGCACAAGGAACUGACCAAAGAUCUGGAGAAGAUGAAGAUGACGCUGGAGUCGGUGGAGGCCGCGCUCAGCGACGCAGAGAGGCGGUCUAUCACGGAUAACGCGGCGCUCCUGUGGGUGAACCGGCUUAAGGCCGCCAUGUACGACAUCUCUGACAUGCUCGACGACUUCGAAUCUGACACCCAGUCCCGGUUCGGAGCUAUGAGGAAGAAGAUCAGUAUGCCAGACAAGAUGAAAAAGAUGCAAGAGCGUCUACAGAAGAUAACAGAAGACCAUCAGAACUAUCGUCUUCCGCCAGAAACUCACAGCAAUGAGCCACAACUUCCUGAUAUCCGGGAAAAUGCAGGGACUAUGGUGGAAGCAGAAAUCAUUGGGAGGGCCGAGGAAAAACUGGAAAUCUUGGCUCGAUUAUCUGGGAGCACCACUGAACAGACCACCUUUGUUCCCAUAUGGGGCUUUGGAGGCAUUGGAAAGUCCACCUUGGCAAGAUCGGUUUACAAUCAUCCUGAGUUUGAAAAACACUCUCGGGUAUGGAUCUAUGUUUCCCAGAUAUUUGACUUGAAGAAAAUUGGCAACACUAUAAUAUCACAACUAUCAAGACAACAGAGCCCACAAAUACCUGAUCUGCACAGUAUCAACAUUCGCCUUCAAGAGCUACUUGCUGAGAAGAAGAAUGUUCUGAUCAUUUUGGAUGACCUUUGGGAGAAGUGUCCUUCUCAACUAGAAGAAUUGAAGUCUAUGCUGAAGCAGGGUAAGGGGUGCAAGGUGAUGGUUGUAGUUACCACACGUGAUGAAGGCAUUGCAAGUGAAAUCGGUACUGUUCAGCCGUACAAGUUGCCUCAGUUGUCAGAUGAGAUGUGCUGGGAUAUAAUGAGGCAAAAAAGUAAAUUUGAAACAAGGGGUGACAAAGAACGGCUGGAGCCGAUUGGAAGGGAUAUUGCAAAGAAGUGCAAAGGUGUAGCUUUAGCUGCUCAAUCACUUGGACACUUGUUGAAGUCCAAGCCGUGUGGAGAAUGGGAUUUGGUCAGAAACAAUCAUAUCUGGAAUCUAUCUGCUUAUACAGAUGCAUCAUCCAAACAUGAAGUGCUUGGAUCCUUGUUGUUAAGCUACAAAUUCAUGCCUCCGUACUUGAAGUUAUGCUUUGCUUAUUGUGCAAUCUUUCCAAAGGGUCACACAAUGAUUAAAGAGGAGCUAAUUUAUCAAUGGAUUGCUCUUGGAUUCAUGGAGCCAUCUAGUACAUCCUCUAAUUGGCAACUCGGUGAGAGUUACAUUACGCAGCUUCUGGAGAUGUCAUUUCUUCAACAUUCAAAGGCUGACGCCCAAAAAUUGUACCAAGACCUUGAUUUCACACUGUUUGUUAUGCAUGACCUGGUGCAUGAUCUCGCAAGAUUAGUCAUGGUUGACGAAUUUAACUUGGCGGGCCCUAACUGCCGCUAUGCAUGGCACACAGAUUUCUUGAAGCCAUUAAAGUCAUCCAUAACUUCAUCUGAAAAGCUAAGGGCGUUGCAUGGCCAUGGCAGCUCAUGGCCAUAUCAGUUCCAUCGUGAUGCAAUUUCACCAGCUAAGUAUGUCCGUACCUUACAUUUAAGACAUUUAACAGGAGUCAGUUCGAAUGAGUUUCUAGAUUCUAUUGGUCAAUUGAAGCAGUUGAAGUAUCUUAGUGCUCCACAUAUGGACGAUGUAAGGGAUCUCGGGUGGAUCGAUAUGCUCCAAAAAUUGAAUUAUCUCGACCUUCGUGGUUUUCAUAAUAUCUCAGCAUUGCCAGAGUCAAUUGGUGAAAUGGAAGGCCUGAUGUAUCUUGACUUAUCACGUUGUGAGAGUCUAAGAGAACUCCCACAUUCGUUUGCCAAGCUCAAAGAGUUGGUAGAUCUGAAUUUAUCAUACUGUGUUAAUGUUUUGGGAAUAACUGAAGCUUUGGCUGACCUUACCAAACUCCAACGUUUGGGAUUAUCUGCAUGUAAAAAUCUCAGAGGACUGCCAGAUGUCAUCAUAAGUCUCACUGAACUCCGCUAUCUGACUUUAGCGGACUGCUUGCAUCAUAUCUUCGACAGGUCAUCAACAGAUCAAGCCGAGAGAUUCAUUGACCGUAUAUGUACCCUUCCCAAUAUGGAGCACCUGGACUGUCUUCUAAUGGUAAUCCUCUUAUUAGUAUACCGGAAAGUGCUAGCCGCCUCAGGAAGUUGGUCCUUAAGGGGUGCAUGCAAAUUACCAUGAUUCCAGAAUGUGUGGCUAAAAUGGACUGUCAAAGCCUUUUUGGCUUGUUGUCAAAUUUUUCUGUUACCGCAGAUGAUAGUAACACCAACCUUGGCGUUCUUGAGCAUAUAAACCCCGACGAGCUGAAAAUCGAAAACCUUCAAAAUGUGAAGUCCCGAGAAGAGGCACGCUGUAUUAAACUGAGUGAAAAACAGAGGAUUAGAGAAUUGAGAUUAUGGUGGAACCAUCAUGCUAAGAGAUCUUUGGAUGACAUGGAGUUGCUGAUGGAGCUAGUGCCACCAACCACGUUGCAGAAGUUUGAGAUAUGUGGUUAUAUUAGUGUCAGUUUUCCAGACUGGGUAAUAAGCAUUGGGAAUUAUCUCCCUAAUGUUGUCCGAAUGAACAUGUUUAGUUUGCCCAACUGUAACAGUCUUCCACCUUUCUCCCAACUACCAAACCUCCAAGUGCUUACUCUGGGAUACAUGGAAAGCCUGGAAGAAUGGAACACAGCAUACUCCAGUGGUGAGGAUGAACUCAUGUUCCGUAAGCUUGAGGAAGUGAAUAUAUAUUAUUGCCCCAAGUUGAGGAUAAAACCACACCUUCCUAGAGCUGCAUCUUGGAGUAUAAAGGCAAGUGACAACGUGCUCAUAUCAUGGGCAGAGAGCGUGUCACACAAUGGUGCUUCUUCAUCUUCUCAAGCAAGAGUAUCUACUAAUCUGACAGUUGAGCACAGCGAGGUGCCUCUGCAUCAGUGGAGAUUGCUUCACCAUGUACCUGCCCUUAGUAAUUUGCAUAUCGAAUGCUGCAGUGAUUUGAAAAGCUCACCAGAGAUCACCUGCGCCCUCAUGGCCCUCAAAUCACUGACACUGGAGAACUCGGCCGAAUCAAAACUUUCGGAAUGGUUAGGCGAGUUGACAUCUCUUCGGCAACUGGUGAUAAAGCGAUACAAGAGGCUAGAAGAAUUGCCCGAUAACAUGAGGCAACUCGAACAGCUACAAUCAUUAACACUGGAUGCCUGUCGUAGCUUGAGACAGCUGCCGCAUUGGUUAGGAGAACUUACCUCUCUCCAGAAACUUGGAAUUUGGAACUGUACUGCUAUCGCGACUUUGCCAAAUAGCAUACAACAACUCACAAAUCUCAAGAACUUCAAUAUUGACUGCUGCCCUAACUUAGAGCAGUGGUGUAAAGCAGAGGAGAACAAGACGAAGCUUGCUCACAUAGAACCAAAGUUUCACAGCCCUGCCCCCUCUCUUCGCCCUUUGAUGGAAGCCAUUCCUGCCAGCCGCCGUUGUUGCCCACUCAGGUGGCCCUUGCUGCGAACGAAGACAAGAAAGUGAUGCCGGAGAAAGACAGCGGAGGCGCGAAUCAGGAUUUAGGCCGCUCGAAUGAAUCGGCUGACCCCGCGUCCAUCUGAAUCAAAACUCCAGAUUAAUUAGCACACAAUUCCAACGUACUCAAGUAUGUGCCCUGAAUGGUGCCUUCGGCAACAAAGUGCGGGGAUGUUUGUAUGCUACAUUCGGCAGUAGAUAUCGUGCUACUCUGUUAUGUGUUAUCAACUUCCCUUGACAACGCGAAUGUGAUUCAGUCUCUUGUAAAGUGCGGCUUCUCGCUUGGUUAUUAGUUGUGGAUUCAGAGAUCCAGCUGCUUGGCUUCCUUGACUCUGUUACUAGGUAAAAUACUGUGAACGUUACACCGACAAUUCCAUCUUCAAUGUAAUGUAUUCUUUCUUGUUUUA